ensembl:miRNA Mir6408 microRNA 6408
AGGCACAGGGAGGGACAUUCUGUUCAAGCUCAGCUACAGCAGGGAUGCUAUGGCCACAUGGGCUUGCAUGGGAUGGUCCUUUGUCGGGCUG